GAUGAACGCUGGCGGCGUGCCUAAUACAUGCAAGUCGAGCGAACAGAUGAGGAGCUUGCUCCUCGGACGUGAGCGGCGGACGGGUGAGUAACACGUGGAUAACCUACCUAUAAGACUGGGAUAACUUCGGGAAACGGGCUCUAAUACCGUAUAAUAUAUUGAACCGCGUGGUUCGAUGGUGAAAUACGGUUUUGGUGUCACGUCUCGAUGGUUCCCCGCCUCAUUAGCUAGUUGUUAAGGUAACGGCUUAUCAAGGCUACGCUGCGUGGCCGACCUGAGAGGGUGAUCGGCCACACUGGAGCUGAGACACGGUCCAGACUCCGACGGGAGGCAGCAGUAGGGACUCUUCCGAACUGGGCGAAAGCCUGACGGAGCAACGCAGCGUGAGUGAUGAAGCGCUUCGGAUCGUAAAACGCUGUUAUGAGGGAAGAACAAAUGUGUAAGUAACUAUGCACGUCUUGACGGUACCGAAUCAGAAAGCCACGGCAACUUACGU
rnacentral:rRNA from 1 species